rnacentral:rRNA from 1 species
GACGAACGCUGGCGGCGUGCCUAAUACAUGCAAGUAGAACGCAGUUGCGAACGGGUGAGUAACGCGUAGGUAACUGCCUCUUAGCGGGGGAUAACUAUUGGAAACGAUAGCUAAUACCGCAUACUGUGAGAUGGACCUGCGUUGGAUUAGGUAGUUGGUGAGGUAAAGGCUCACCAAGGCGACGGUACAAAGCCGACCCGAGAGGGGGGUAGGCCAAACCUGGACUGGAGACCGGCCCCGACUCCUACUGGAGGCAUGAGGAGGGAAUCUUCGGCAAAGGACCGAAGUCUGACCGAGCAAAGCCGGGUGAGUGAAGAAGGUUUUCGGAUCGUAAAGCUCUGUUGAUAAAGAAGCGGUAACUAUCCAGAAAGGGACGGCUAACUACGUGCCAGCAGCCGCGGUAAUUC